GUAUAAUGUAAUUUUAACAUUAGCUUUAAUAAAUGCUCUGAUCAGUUUAUUAUCUGACACGUUCUCUAAGAACUCCGCAUUAAAUGGAUUUUUGGAGCAGGGAGAUGGAAUAGGAGCUUGCUCCGUCUACUCCACGCAUCACCCCGGUAUUGCAGUGCUUCUAGGAACGGUGCACCUCCC
rnacentral:snRNA from 1 species